AUGGGUGAUAGGUUGCAAGGAAGGUUAAAGUAUCUAAGAACCAGCAUUAAAAAUAGGAUUUGAUAAAAGUAAAGUUACAUCACAGGCAUUUGGUUAUGGUCGUAGAAAGCUAACAAGCACUGAUGGUGUUUCCUCAAUCCAAUAGAAGUAGCCCUAGGGAGGACUUGAAGUCCCUCUGGCCAGAGCACAUAGCUUUUUAAUUAACUGCCUUGGACCCAGAUAUAAGCGCAGUAUGUAACUUUGGGGAACCUACAGUUGACAACACUGGGUUUUUACUAGAAUGGAGACUUUAUUUUCUGGAAAUAAUCUGAGAUAUAAACAUACUUUGUUUUUGAUUAAGGGCAAAGGUAUGACAUGGUCUCAUGAGACUCAAUCAAGUGAAUGAAAUUGGGACUAGAGCCUGCUGGAUACUAUCCAGUGCGUGCGAGGAAGAUGUCGGAGAUGCUUGGGGAUGAGCUCACCCCGAAACCUACACACAGACACCAUCCUGGUAGAUCCACUCUGCAAGCGUUGCUCUCCCUGCGGCAGGACUGACUGGAUCCAGGGGACACCACAGCAGAGGAGCAGAGGAGCGUCUGCUUUGAAGAGAAAACAGACUUUUUAUUAGAAGUCACUGGAAAGAAGUUACCUUUGCCUCUAAGAAGGCUGGGAUGACACUCAAUAAAAUCCAACUGUCUGCAUGUGCCAUAUUUUCACUUUCCAUUCACCAGUCAAUAGACAUCUAGGCUGAUGUGACUUCCUCCAGAAUAUAGAAAACUACAGCAACCAUGAACGCUACAUUUUCUUCGCUGUGGCAAGUCCGAUGGUUUUUCUCAUCCCUGGGAUUUCAGAUACUGUGAAUGUAAUGUUGCUGGAUGGAUGGCUGUUUGCUUUCCUUUAAAUAAUCUUGAGUUUGCUCUGACUAACAAGCUAGUUGCUUUUCCACCUGAUUCUAUCCAGACUGGUCUCAGCUUUUCUAUACACAGCUCCACUGCAGGGGCUGCUCGAGUUUACUAAGGGAUGCCCUGCGAACUUGACCAAAUACCUUGAGUGACCAACGAGAGCUUCCUGGCUAAAUGGCUAAUGGUUUAGCUGUGCCCUGCUCUGAGAACUGGCAAGUCCCCGCCCAUGCUAUGUUCUGGCUUGUGGGAUCUUUUAUCCCACGUGUGCUCAGUCUAAUAGUUUGCAAAGACACCCGACUUAUCCUGUGCAGACUGCGGUAGCUCCAUUUUGCACAGUGUUCUCUUUCAGAAGGCGCACAUCUUAAGUUCCAGUCUCCUUCUCAGUAAACCUACUGUACUUGGGUUGAGUCUUUUCCUGCAUUUUGGCCUGAAAACUGUGUGAACCAGCCAAGGUUGGUAGUGGAAUCUAUCGUUUCAUUUUUAUAUCCUAAGCAUCAGGGCUCUGAGGUCUGAGCUCCUCUGUCUGUGAAUAGUUGCCCACAGAUUUUGUCCAGUUUCUUGGCUGCUUGCAGCAGAGAGACAAAUCUGGUUCCUGGGACUCAUCCUUAAAGGAAACAGGACAAGGGAAUGGCUUAAAAUUUGAAUCCAAACAGAGCUAGUAAGACACCAGAGUCAGUAUGACUCCAGUCUUUUACUCUUGACGUUGUUGGUGACUGUCUCUCAUCCCAUUGGUGCAAGAUGACUUUACACGCUGACAUGAUUGGCUAAUUAGCUCAAAGGGGAAGAGAAAAUUUCAGGAGAUUUAAAUCUUUGCCAAGGGACCUACAGUUGCUUUGGUCUACUGAAUCAAAGUUGAGUUUUGUUUUUGUUUUGUCUGCUUU
rnacentral:sRNA from 1 species